rnacentral:rRNA from 1 species
GGGUCAGUAGGUCGGUCGUGCCACGGGUAUGCACUGGUCUCACUGAUUCCUCCUUCCUGAUGAACCGUGAUGCCAUUAAUUUGGUGUUGCAGGGAAACGGGACUGUUACUUUGAAAAAAUUAGAGUGUUUAAAGCAGGCCCACGCUUGAAUACAUUAGCAUGGAAUAAUAGAAUAGGACUGCGGUUCUAUUUUGUUGGUUUCUAGAGUCGCCGUA